rnacentral:lncRNA from 1 species
GUAAACAUUUAUUUUUAAUAAUGAAUCAUACUUCUGGGCAUACUUAACCAGAAUUUGCACAUCUGAUAUUUGUUGUACAAUUCCUUAUACCAAAUAAAAAUGUACGACUUAACUGUAACCUUAUUAUUAAGUAAGAAGGCAGUUGAUCCUAAAUUUGAUUAAAUCAUUCUUCUUUAUUUAUAUUUUCAGAUUUUGCAAAAAGCAAGACCUGCAUAAUUUAUUUUAGCUACAGUUAUGAGAAAGAAUGAUGUGUCUCUAGACAUACCUUUUGCUAUUUUUGAGUUUUUUUUUUUUUUUUUUUAAAUCUUUUGCUGCAGCUCUUUGCCCAAAUUCACAUACAAAUCGAGAAAGACAAACACUGGAUCUGAAGAAGCAUUCAGCAGAAUUGGUGGUGGUUUGUAGUGCAGCUUGACUAAUUAGGCCAGCAUUUCCUGUGGUUAGUGUGCAAUUUAUUUGAAGAGCAAGAAAAUUAUGGAAAUAGGGAAGAAUCUCAGAAAAGUGGAAAACUCAAUUGUCACCUUGACUAUGGAUGAAGAAGAAACUGAAGUUCGGGCUGAAAAAUGGGUGGAGUGUCCAAGAUGGGUGCCUUUAAAACAGCUCGUUCCACUGACAUGCUUUAAAGAGACAUAG